CACGACGCUUGCAGUGUACACAUACUUUCCCAUGACCAUUUGCUUUGCUGAGACUAUGGGGUUGACCAGAUACGUAGGUAAUCCCUCCUGGAGAAAAUUGGCCAAAUCUUCGUCCCAGCACCAACCCACAGCCGAGAAAGCGAGUCUAGAAUAUCAGCGAACAAUACCCACAAUUUAGCAUUGCCAGAUGCCAGUUCAAUGUGCUUUUGUAGAAGAAAAGAAGAGAAUUUUUAAUAAUAUUAACGCUUAUAACUAACAGAUGUUUUCUCAAAAAAAAAAUUUCAUAAAAAAAAUUUCUUUAACUCAAAUAUUUAUUCUUAAACAGUAUAUUAUAAAACGACGCUUAUAAAUCGCUUGUGGUAUUAUUAAAUUAAUCUCAAAUUUGAGAAAAAAAUUCUCUUUUCCUAGAUUUCAAAAAAAAAUUAAACUACAUUAAAACGACGUAUUAAAAAUAAAUUAUUAUAAAUUCGAUCCUAUUUAGUCACGCAUGUGCAUCUUAAACCGAAAAUAUUAUUUUUAUUUAUUAAACAUAUAAAAUUUAGAUAUUUUAAAUCUAAUUUUAAAAAAUGAAUUUAGAAAGAAAAAUUAAUAAAAUUUUUUUUUUAAAAAGUUGCACUUGAAAAGGCCGGAUCGAAAAACAGAAAAUAUAAAGAAACAAGUUCUCACACAUUCACACAUUCAUUAAAUUAUUUACAAAAUUUUAUAUACAUUAAUAAAAUUCCCAAGAGGACAAUAAAAAAAAAAUUUUUUUUAAAAAACCCGAACGCACUUCUUAUCUUUCAUUAAAUUAAACUGAAAAUCAAAAUAAAUUCAACAAUUGUGAAGAUAACAUUUAAAAAAUUAUAAAUUGAAAAAAAAACCAUUUUGCGCUGCUUUUGUUCUUUGCAACGGGGUUUUUUUUUUUAAAUUAAUCGGUUCACAGUUUUAGUUCGAAUAUAUAUCUGACAAUUUGUUAAUACAAAAAUUUUUCUUCCCUUUUUUUUCUUUAUACUAAAUUUUUAAUAUUUUUAA